rnacentral:lncRNA from 1 species
AGAGGGAAGCAAAGCCCCUCAGCUAAUCUGAAGAUCAGAAGCAUGAAAAAAAUAGCAAAACUUGCAGUGGCAAGAACAAAUCAAGCAUUUCCUCAGUUCAGGUCUCCAAAUUGCUUCCGCACAGCGCCAUGAGAUGGCACAUCAGAAGAACGAAAGUAUUUAGUUUGAUCAUCAUUGGACAGCUUUAAGCAUUAAAUCAAAAUCUCAAAAGGAAAUUGUCCCUCAGAACAUUUGCACGGAUGCAUCAACAGAUUGGUAUUUUUUUCAGAAAAGGUCGACAUUUAAAAUUCAAGUUUUGCUAAGCUUUCAAAUGACGUAAACAGAUUUCGUCUUUGGAUCAAUCUUGCUGUAUGCUUAAUGUUGAAGCUGAUUUGCUUCGCAUAUUGAUCUGACCAAACAAUGAGCAACCAAAAGAUCAUCAAAUUAAGCAACACAACACCUCCAUUGCCAAUGUAAUCAGACAAAGAGGCUGCCUGCAUCAUUGCUCAUUCAGUUAUUACAACGGAGGAUGUUAGAAAAGGGAGACAAGGAUUAUAUCAUCACUGCAGCAGUUACAGUCUAGCUGUGUCUAUUUUCCCAAAAACUAGAAGAGCCUUCAUUGGCUGUACCAAAUUAUAAUGAAGAAAUCAUAAGAAAAAUGUGAGUGGGCUCAGAUACAAAAGAGAUGUUCAUAUCACGACUGCCCACAAAGGGAAGUCUCAUAAUGAGCUGGGUAAUAGUAUCAUCAUUGCAAAAAUAAUCAAGGCCCCAGCCCACAACGACUACAGAAACAAAUUCAGUGGUUUCUCAAGAUAAGGGUUUUCUCAACAAAGAUUUGUCAGUUGUUUGGUCACUCAAAGAUCAAGUACAGUGGACUCUGCUAAAAUCAUGUAAAUUGCUUUGUCAAUCAGAAUGCAUAAUAUGUUCAUCCGUUUGUUUUGGCAAUGAUGCUCUGUGGUAGGCAUAAUGCGGUUGAUAAACAAAGGUGUUCUUCCACACCGAGCUAUGAGAUAGCGCAUUAGAACUUCAGAAGAACAAAAGUAUUUAGUUUGAUCAUCACCGAACAAAACUGACUGAGCUUUCUGCAAGUUUAAUCCUCCAAAGCACGUGCAAUGCUGGCUUUCUUCCGCCAAAUUAACGAGCUACAGACUCAGGAACUAAAAUCUCUGAGAAAUAAAAAUAUGUACUAUGUUAGAAAUGUGCCAGAAGACAGGUAACAUGACACGGUUUGACAGAGCGUCAUGCUGUUUAAUACUGGCCGGUGUUUCCAUUCAUCUAUGCUUCCCUCUACGGGAUGACCAAACUGUUAUCAACAGGCCAUCCUUCCAGUUGUGAAGCAACAAACACAAAAACAAUUUUCCAUCACAAACUACAAGCAGAAAAAACAUGAAAAAAAUAGCAAAACUUGCAGUGGCAAGAACAAAUCAAGCAUUUCCUCAGUUCAGGUCUCCAAAUUGCUUCCGCACAGCGCCAUGAGAUAGCACAUCAGAAGAACGAAAGUCUUUAGUUUGAUCAUCAUCGGACAGCUUUAAGCAUUAAAUCAAAAUCUCAAAAGGAAAUUGUCCCUCGGAACAUUUGCACGGAUGCAUCAACAGAUUGGU